rfam:Homo sapiens chromosome 7, GRCh38 reference primary assembly.
UAUUAGGUUGGUGCAAAAGUAAUUGCGGUUUUUGCCAUUGAAAGUGAAGGCCAAAACUGCAAUUACUUUUGCACCAACCUAAUA